rnacentral:tRNA from 1 species
GGCUCGGUAGCUCAGUUGGUAGAGCAAUGGACUGAAAAUCCAUGUGUCGCCGGUUCAAUCCCGGCUUGAGCCACCA